rnacentral:rRNA from 1 species
UGUGGUUACUAUAGCAAAGAGGAUACACCUGUUUCCAUUCCGAACACAGAAGUUAAGCUCUUUAGCGCCGAUGGUACUUGGUAGGAAGCUGCCUGGGAGAGUAGGACGUAGCCGCGU